UACGGGGGGAGCAAGCGUUGUUCGGAUUUACUGGGCGUAAAGGGCGCGUAGGCGGCGUAACAAGUCACUUGUGAAAUCUCCGGGCUUAACUCGGAGCGGUCAAGUGAUACUGUUGUGCUAGAGUGCGGAAGGGGCUACUGGAAUUCUCGGUGUAGCGGUGAAAUGCGUAGAUAUCGAGAGGAACACCUGCGGCGAAGGCGGGUAGCUGGGCCGACACUGACGCUGAAGCGCGAAAGCGUAGGGGAGCGAACGGG
rnacentral:rRNA from 1 species